AAUGGGCCACGUGCACACAUCCUCAACCCCAUCACCGACCUCCGUGUCAAAGACCCAGACGACUACCCGGACGCACCUGCUCUCCCUCUCCCUCUCCCUCUCCCUUAUUAGCAGCGCCUCUUGUUUACCUUCUUCAACCAACAGUCUCUCACAUAUCUAUCUCUCUCCUCCUCAUCGCUAUUUUUCAAAACCCUAAUAAACACCUCCCAAUUUAAAUUUCGACUUUUAUUCUCUCUAAUUCGAUUUGAUCGGAUUGCUUUCCCUUCGAUUUUCCCCUAAUUUCUCUCAAUCGUUUGCGAGCUGUGGUUUUUUGUACGAUCGAAGCUUGUUGAUCGAGCAUGAGCGGCCAGACUCAGGGCGUGAAGAGUCCUCCUUUAAGAGGAUAUCGGCGAAGGAAGACCGUGCUGGACUUAAACGUUCCUCCGAUUGAUGGAAGAGAUGAAGAAGGGACUUCGACCACCCGCAUUGAACCUCCUCAAGGAGUGCAAGCAAGCCACCAACGAAACGGACAAGGACCGUCUUUGCCGCCUCCUACUAUUGAUGUUGAUGCUAUCGACGACGACGACGACGUCGUCGAAUCGUCGGCCAGAGCGUUUGCUCAGGCUAAGAACAAUUCCCGGAGGGCUGCGGUCGUUGAUGUAGAGUCAGGUGGGCGAUUCACUCACAAUAAGCGUAGAAGGGUUCCGCCGAAUCAAACGAUCAUCAAUUGUGAUCUUUAUAUCAACUUGGAAGGCGGAAGUAGCAGCAGUAGCUCUAAGAGGGAGAAUGUGCAGACCCUGCCGCCAAAGGAGCCAACCUUCAACUGCCCGAUUUGCUUGUGUCCAUUGGUCGAGGAGAUGUCAACAAAAUGCGGACACAUAUUUUGUAAGACUUGCAUAUCAGACGCAAUCAAAAGACAGGCCAAAUGCCCUACUUGUAGGAAAAGAGUCACUACUAAAGAGCUUAUUAGAGUGUUCCUCCCAGCAACCAGUUGAUUUCGAUUCUCACAUUCAAUUACUGUUUAUGUAAGUUUCCUGCAUUGCACUAUUUCCUCUAGUGGUCAGUAAAGAAGUUGAAGUAACAGGGAAGAGAUGCAAUAUCUAUUGGGUUAAAUCAAAGGAGAGAUGGAACAAUGGUUAUAGCAUUUUGGUGGAUCCUAAUUUUUCGCAUGAAGGAAUUUAUCAAACUUAUUGUGCGGCUCAAGAUGAACAAUGCUUUGUGUCAAUAGUUGGUGUUAUUGGAAUAAAAUUUAUGUUUAAUGGAUGCUUAUAUGCUGGAUCAUCAGUCUGUUUUCCUUUGCUGUGUUGGCUGAGAUGCGCAGCGCAAGAUGGCAAUGGAGAUUUUGUGACAUUUAGGAAGUAAAUUGAAUAUUGAAGUCCUAUGCUAUAUAUAAGUUACAGAUAUUCUAUGGA